UACGUAGGGGGCAAGCGUUGUCCGGAGUUACUGGGCGUAAAGCGCACGCAGGCGGUCUUUUAAGUUUGGAGUGACAGUUGGUGGCUUAACUGCCAAAGUGCUUCGAAAACUGAAAGACUUGAGGGCUUCAGAGGGACACGGAAUUCCGGGUGGAGUGGUGAAAUGCGUAGAUAUCAUUUGGAACGCCAAUGGUGAAAACAGGCAGCUGGGAGUGUGCUGACGCUGAGACACGAAAGCCAGGGGAGCGAACGGG
rnacentral:rRNA from 1 species